CUUGUCUUCGGACGCGUCCACACAGGUGCUGCAUGGCUGUCGUCAGCUCGUGUCGUGAGAUGUUGGGUUAAGUCCCGCAACGAGCGCAACCCUCAUCUUCAGUUGCCAUCAUUUAGUUGGGCACUCUGAAGAAACUGCCGGUGACAAGCCGGAGGAAGGUGGGGAUGACGUCAAGUCCUCAUGGCCCUUACGGGCUGGGCUACACACGUGCUACAAUGGUGGUGACAGUGGGUCGCUAACUCGCGAGAGUAUGCUAAUCCCUAAAAGCCAUCUCAGUUCGGAUUGCACUCUGCAACUCGAGUGCAUGAAGUCGGAAUCGCUAGUAAUCGUGGAUCAGCAUGCCACGGUGAAUACGUUCCCGGGCCUUGUACACACCGCCCGUCACACCAUGGGAGUUGGCUUUACCCGAAGCCGGUGCGCUAACCGCAAGGAGGCAGCCGACCACGGUAAGGUCAGCGACUGGGGUAAAGUCGUAACAAGGUAGCCGUAGGGGAACCUGCGGCU
rnacentral:rRNA from 1 species